GAUGAACGCUAGCGGCAGGCCUAACACAUGCAAGUCGAGGGGUAGAACACUUCGGUGUUUGAGACCGGCGCACGGGUGCGUAACGCGUAUGCAAUCUACCCUAUACAGGGGAAUAGCCCAGAGAAAUUUGGAUUAAUGCCCCAUAGCAUUACGACUUGGCAUCAAGAUGUAAUUAAAGUUCCAACGGUAUACGAUGAGCAUGCGUCCCAUUAGUUAGUUGGUAAGGUAACGGCUUACCAAGACGAUGAUGGGUAGGGGUCCUGAGAGGGAGAUCUCCCACACUGGUACUGAGACACGGACCAGACUCCUACGGGAGGCAGCAGUGAGGAAUAUUGGUCAAUGGUCGCAAGACUGAACCAGCCAUGCCGCGUGCAGGAAGACGGUCCUAUGGAUUGUAAACUGCUUUUAUACAGGAAGAAACCCUCCCACGUGUGGGAGCUUGACGGUACUGUAGGAAUAAGGAUCGGCUAACUCCGUGCCAGCAGCCGCGGUAA
rnacentral:rRNA from 1 species